rnacentral:rRNA from 1 species
GACGAACGCUGGCGGCGUGCCUAAUACAUGCAAGUAGAACGCACAGUUUAUACCGUAGCUUGCUACACCAUAGACUGUGAGUUGCGAACGGGUGAGUAACGCGUAGGUAACCUGCCUGGUAGCGGGGGAUAACUAUUGGAAACGAUAGCUAAUACCGCAUAAUAUUGAUUAUUGCAUGAUAAUUGAUUGAAAGAUGCUAUUGCAUCACUACCAGAUGGACCUGCGUUGUAUUAGCUAGUAGGUGAGGUAACGGCUCACCUAGGCGACGAUACAUAGCCGACCUGAGAGGGUGAUCGGCCACACUGGGACUGAGACACGGCCCAGACUCCUACGGGAGGCAGCAGUAGGGAAUCGUCGGCAAUGGACGAAAGUCUGACCGAGCAACGCCGCGUGAGUGAAGAAGGUUUUCGGAUCGUAAAGCUCGGUUGUAAGAGAAGAACGGGUGUGAGAGUGGAAAGUUCACACUGUGACGGUAUCUUACCAGAAAGGGACGGCUAACUACGUG